GCAACAUCCUCUAUGGUCGCCUCUAUGG
rnacentral:sRNA from 1 species